CCGGGGUUGGCGGACUGGAGAAGGAGCGAAGAUGGCGGAGUGAGGCGUGCCCCAGGCAGCUGGCCUCCGGGCCCGGGGCGGGCCUCCCUGGGGAGGCGAAGUACUUCUGCUGGACCGUGCGAGGACUAUCUCCGUGUCGUUUUUAACAUCCACAGUGACCUAUCACCGAAGGCGUCGUCAGUCAAGGAACUUUAGCACACAGGAUGAAUAUUGUCAUGACCUUAGGUGCUUUUAUAUUCAGCUCAGAAUUCAGAACUCAGGACUUGGCAAGAAUUUCUAUGUUGUCUUCUCAGUGGGGCACCCUGGUUCUUUGAUGCAGUCGCUUUCCUUGGUGAAAUGCUGGUGGCUUUCUACCGGUGCCUCCAUGGUUUGGAGUGGAGAGACUGUUCUUUGUUCCACCUCAGACGCGGCACAGAGACGCUGGAGUAUGCAGAAGAGAAAACCAGCUGGCGAGGGUCUUAUGCUUCAGUCUGCUUCACUAGGAAGACGCCGGUUGCAAGUGGAAGGGAGAUGUUUAAUUUGAAACAGGUGCUUAGAUUGUGCAUCGUGAAUUCUUCCUUUUAAAAGCUCCAAACAGCAAACUAUACAAAUACCAUGUGUGGAUGACUUCAGGUUUUGUUUUGUUUUUUAAGUCUGCCAGUUUUAACACUAUUAUAAGCACAGUUGAGACUGCAGUGGUAAAUUCCAGAUAUUCAUUAUAAUUUGAGGUGAAAGAAAUACUAUCUAAAUCCUGACUCACCCUUUGACAGAUUUCUUGGGCAAAAACAAAUCUCUGGUAUGAUAAAAGCAAAAGGCAAGAAAGAUAUCAAGGUUGAUUUCACAUGGAAGUGAAACUAUUGCAGUUUGUGUGCAAAGUCACAUUUUUAUAUGUAUAAUUCCAUGGUUUUUUUUUUAAUAUGAUUUUUCUCUUGAAGAAGAAAGCUGUGGUUUCAUGAGAAGACUUUGGACAGUUUGAUGGUCUUGAGUGUUUGAGUUUUAUCUCAUUUUCUUUGCUUUUUCAUCCUCCUCAGGAAGGACCAGCUGGCCUGCAGCUAGUUGAGAGUGGGAGGAGACCAGGCUGGGGUGAUGCUUGCCUCGAACUGCCUGUGCUUUGGGAGACUGGGGCAGGAAGAUCAGAAGUUCAGGUCCAGCUUGAGCCACAUGGUAAAACUAUUUCAAAAACAGCAGAAAAGGGAAAAAAAUGAGCCCAGUAACAACACUCUUGUUUUUCAAGAUCAUAUUCUUUUUUUGUGGAAUGGGACGUAUCACAUGAGAGUUUGGCUUUUGUGCAGCUGUGGCUGGAAAGAAAGUGAAUAUGUGUUAUCUAAUGGCCCUGCAUUGUAACUUGCCUUCAACUUAGGACAUACAGGAGUGAGUGAAGGAAAAAAUAACUCGGCACAGAAAUCCUUUCUUCUAAGAAAAAGAAGCAGCGAUGUCAUAUGUAGCAUCAUCUGACUUGUCAGCAUUUCCACAUUAUGUUCUUGCAUUUUUUUAUAAAAGCAUAAAUAACUUCCUUCAUCCCAAGAUAGGUACUUGGACAUCUAUUUUUCUACAUGGUAAUGUAAUGUAAGGCUGAAAUUCUGGGACUCAGGUAAAAUUUCCCAGUUUGAAUUGAACUUCCUUACCAGAGAAUGGACCUCAGAAGCAAUGUUCCUAGUGCUGUGGUCAAUCAACUCUAUCUAUUCUUGGAAGAAAUUCAGGAUCUGAACAAAACUUAAAAAAAAAAAAAAAAGCGGGUCCAGUAAGAAAAUGUGGAUCCUGUUGCCAGUCACUGUAGAUUUAAAUGAAAUUCAGGUUCAGGGUAGGGAGACCUCAAGAAGACUAGUUCCAAGAAAUUAUACAUGUUCGUUUUUUCCUUUAAUUAACAGUUAUGAGGAACCAUCGUGAAAACCUCUCUUUGCUUCCAAAUCAAGAGAAGUCUUAUUUUAUGUGAUGCCAGGCUUUUACAGGGAAGGGAACUGUUGUUUACAAUGGUUGCCAGUAGAGAAGGAAUUUUAAGCUUGCUAGAUGAGUUAGGAACAGGUGCUGUUGGAGCUGAUUUCUGGAACCAUUUCCCAGUGCUGUGAAUUUGAGUCAUAGAAAGGAUCAAAGUUAGGAAAUUUAAAUAUUCUAAUGGUUAGUCAGAUUGGGCAACAAAUUUGAAUUUAUACUAAAAGUUUUUUUUCUGAAAUACUUAUUAUAAAUAACAUUUUAGCCUGUCGGUGAUGGCCCACACCUUUAAUCCCAGCACUUGGGAGGCAGAGGCAGGUGGAUCUCUGAGUUUGAGACCCGCCUGGUCUACAAGAGCUAGUUCCAGGACAGCCUCCAAAGCCACAGAAAAACCCUGUCUCAAAAAAUAAAAUAAAAUCUAAUGAGAGCAAAUAAUGAUAAAACACUGGGGAAAUAAGGAGUUAAAUUUAACCUGAGUUUCUGGGUUUGAUACCCACACCUGUAACCACUGCAUUUUGGAGGCUAAGGCACGAGCAUUGGCCACAACAUCAAGGCCAGCCAGAAUGACAGACCCAGAUUUUUCUCUUUAAGUACAAUGGAAGCCACCUGGUGACUGCUCCUGUACCUUACCCUUGGGCAACUUUAUGGGGUAAGGCUCUUGGACAGGGCUGUCACCACCAAGGAGGUAUCACUUUGCUUCAGGUUUGUAGCUUAAACCUUCAAGUGUUGAGUGCCCUUUGUCAAAGAUGCUUCUGUGUCCUGCAUUGUUAACACCAGAUGACAUUUUGUAGCCUGGGGACAUUCCAGCUGUAGUUGCCUGGUGUGUGGUACGGUUUCAUUUUAUCGUCUUGCUUAGGUUUUCUUCUUCAUAGCAAGAAAAACUACCAUUUUAGGGCUGUGCUUCCACAUAUAGCCGUGCCUCCCUUCUCCAUGGAAGCUGGCAGUUUUUCUUUUGAAGUUACUAAACAAAAAACGGGCUAUGUGCAAUAUAAAUAUAUAUAUGUAUAUUUUAAUACUUGUGGACAAGUGUUACAAGUUGUUUAAGAACAACAAAAUCACCAAUGUCUUCCAUUUUGAGAUGUGUAUAGUUUUGUAAGCAGUAGUACUUGGUAGCAUAUUUUAGUGCCAUGUUAGGGGUUAGUGCAUGAAUUUAGCAUAAUUUUAAACUUCAGGAUGAAAUAUUGAUAAUAACUAGUAGUGUAAAAAGAGUGGAAAAUCCUAGACCUUUACUUUUUGUGUUUGAAUCUGUGAUAUCCUCCCUGGGGAUAGGAGAUAAAGGCCAAAACAACUAAUGUCUGAACAGAAAUGUGGGUUCACAUUGAGAAACAUUGUGCUUGGGGAAAUGUUAGCCUUUCACAAGGUAGCUAGAAUAGCUGCCUUUGUAACUUUUCAGUCCUCAAAGCAAGGCCUCAUUUCAUGGUUAUGUCUUGCUCUCUUAGUUUGAAGCUACCUUGUUCAUAUAUUGUCUUUGUAGUGUAUGUCUUGGGUUCAUUUUCCCUGUUUUGUGUCCAGAGAAUUAUUUUCUAUUUUGCAUGUCUGAGAUGCUAUGCUAAUUGCUUUGGAACAUUUAAUCUCUGGCCAUUUCCUUUCCUUUUUACAGCACGUGUGCUAAUUGCAGAACCUUGUGGGCAGUUUGGACUCUCUUGUACUCUUGGUUUUUUUCUACUUUCCUUAUGGAAAUAAAGUAGUUGUUUUGUUUUGAAAAAGAAGGUUUUCUGUAAAAUGAAAUUCCUACCUCUAAAAGCUGCCUAGGAAACUUGGAAGGAACAGUUUUCUGGAGUGUUCUGGGGUCUUGGGGUUUUUGUUUGUUGUUUGUUUGUUUUGAUUUGAUUUUAGAAUUAGAGUCCUGCCAGGUGUGGUGGUGCAUGCCUAUAAUCCCAACAUUUGAAAAGCUGAGGCAGGAGGAUCAGGAGUUCAAGGUUAUCCUUUGUUGCAUGGUGAGUUGAAGGUCAACCUGAGCUACAUGAGAUCCUGUCUCAGAAAACCAAAAGAAAAGAGAGUCUAGGACUUAUGUAUUACAUUAGUAUGAUAGAAAAUGUAAAAUUGUUUUUAAUAUGACUUUUUCACAUACAAACUCGGUAUGAGUCUAGUAUUAGCUAGCUAUCCAGUGACCCAGGAAUAGAUCUCUGUAGAAUAUCAAGUAGGUGGUUAGCACCUGGGUGAAUCUACUUCUGAAAAGCAUUUAAACUUAAGAAACAAAGGGGAAAAAACUUGAAAAAGUAAAGCAUAUAAAGUAGCACAGUAUAUAGGAAAGGAUAUUUCCUAUUGCAAAAAAUAAAAGCCAUAAGUGAACUAAAAAUGUUAAACGUGGAAUUUAGUAGCAAUAACAGUUUCUCGUGUGUAGUAAAUUGUGUUCACAAAGCUGGUUGAGUGAUUACUAUUUAAGUUUGUGGGCCUCUGCAGUCUUAUAGAGUCCACAAAAGGAAAAUACAUCCAACCUAAAAAGCAUUUAAACUAUGAAUGUAUAUGAAUAUAUCUCUGUGAAAAAUACCAACUUUCAUGUAUGUGUUAAAGACUAUUUUGUUUCCCCAGAGUUUACAGCAGUUAAAAUCUUUCUAAGUGUUUAAUCUGAAAACAAAUGUACUUUCCCAGUGAAGCCAACAAGUAGGGGUCUUGCUUAAAUUGUUCUUAUUAAUAGUCAUUCACUGUGUAGAAUGAUGUAUACUUUGUAACCUUUGUUCAUUGGCUUCCUGGCUACUUUUUCAAAAAGAAAAAUUGGUUUGUGUGUGUGAUUGGUGUGUCUGGGGUGGGAAGGGAGCCUCAAGAACUUGCCAGCUUUUCCUUGUACUGAGAUCAAGGAAGUUAGGAAUUGAAGGUAAACAAUGACUAGGCAGUACGGAGGGUGGGGUUAUCUCUAGGUCUGAUACGUGUAUGUGAUGAAGCUUGUGGCCUGUGUGUGUGACUAUAUUUUUUAACAAGGAGAACACAGCAAACUCAUUCCUUUCUUGAUCUGAGGAAUCACACUGCUCACAUCGAAAUGUAAGAAUGGAACUGGGGUGACUCCUGGCUCCCUUUACCUCAUGUCUAUUGUAGCCACUUGAACAUCUGAAAAGCUCUGGGUCUGUGUUCCUUUGUUUUCCCAGGGAGAGAAAGUAAGAGUAGUUUUGUAGAUCUCAGACUCUAAUGAGUUAUUUUAUUACAAGCCUAAGGGUAGGGAAAAGGUUAUCCUGAGUUUAGUUUCUCUUUAAAUGUCCUGUGAUGUCCAGUUAGGUUUUGAGAUAACCAAGCAAUAUUCAGAUAUCUGCAUGAUCGUGGACACAAGGCUAAUUAAUUCAGUUACAUCAGAGAUUACCCUUAACAGCCAUGUUUAUGGUUCUAAGUGUAAAACUAUGCUACAAGAUUUUGUGGUCUCAAAGUAUGUGGUUAAUUAGUAUUCAAUCUUCCCGUAGUCUCUUGUUUACUCUUUGUUUACCCGUAAUAUGCAAAAUAUGAAGAGACCCCCCCUAGCCUUCAGGAGUUUACAUUCUCAUGGUGCUGUAGGUGCAAGCAAACUGUCUCUAGUUUAUUUAGAACAUUGCUUGGCUAUUAAUUAUACCAUUUUGGAAGAGCCCCUUGGCCAAGAGUUUUAAAAUGCAGAGGGCUAUGCUAAAUUUCAGGGCAUUACUGCUUGAGUUUACAUUGUUGUAGCUCUGCUCCUUAACUUUCCCCAGGGAGCUGUUCAUUAAUGUGAAUCAGAAAAGAAACCAUUCUGCCUAAGUAUCCUCACCACCUGUACAGCUCUCAGUAAGUGGCCAAGAAGACUUACUGUUCCAUAAAGACAGUCACCUCAGUUCCUUUUUCCCAGGGCUUUAAAUUUAUUCUUUACCCUCAAAGGGCCAGGAUUUCUAGCUAAGUCUUUUAGAACUGAAUAGAAGUCUUAAGUUUAACCUUUUUGUAUAUGACUUGUUUCUGUUUUGAAGCAGCAUUAUAGUAGAUACAGUGUACCUGAAUGCAUCUCUAAGGAAUUUGACUGACAUAUCCAGUUGAAGUUUUGCAUGUAUCAUUGCUUCUCCCACAGUUCUGAAUCAAAGGGUUUGCAUGUUUAUUAAAACCAGGCCUGGCUGAAAGUGUAAGCAAUAGUAGCAGGCCCAUAACUGAUUCUAGAAUGCUAACAUUCUAAUGCAUGGUUGAAAUUUCCUCACUAUUAGGUAGUUACUAGUAAUUUUCUAUAUGCAUUUAUUAAUAAUGAAGCAAUAGAUACUUAAACCAAUAACUUGAUUUUAUUGUUUGAAUUGUUUUUAUUUUCUAAUUAAAGAUUAUCUUACUUCCACUGAAAAAUGGGAAGUACAAGAUAAACAAGGGGCAACCACAAGACAUUCAUACUGUUAGGAAUAUAGCAAGCAGUGCUCACUCUGUUUCCUACUUAGCUCUAUUUAUUCCCAAGCAUGUUUGCAAAUAAAAGACAAACUAAGCAUGUUGAAUAAGCUGCUAUAAUCAGGAUGGUGCACGGUUUCAGAAGAGUUGAGAAAUAAUCUAAGUAGGAUCAUCGUAAUUCAGAAAUAAGUGUUCAGUUUUCUAAACAACUAGCUGUGGGGUUUGUUUAAUUAGUUUUAUGUAGACUAAGUUUGGGGUUUCUUAAAACUAUAGAUUAAGCCAGAUGCAUGCUCUGCAGUCCCACAGGCAGAAGUCAGCCUGCGUGCCAUAGCUAGACUCCUUCACAGAAAACAAAUUAGUAUCUUGGAGGUGUAUAGCAUCAGUGUGCACAUACUUCCCAUUUUUCAAUCGUGAGGCAUCUGUUCUGGAAGGUGCUGAUACUGACCCCACACUAAGAGGGUCUCUGCAGAGUUACAGAAGUACUGCCAUUGCUUGUUGCUGUAUUCACAACUGUUGAGCUGGAGUUUUACUUUAGAUGAGUUGGUCAAAGUGUGGCUCUUACCUAAAACUUUUGAUUCCUGAUGAACAGGAAAAGUUUGUCUUCUUCUAAAAAAGACAUUUAUUUGGGUGAACAAACAUUGGUUUGUUAUACUAGUGAAAGGAGCAGAAAUGUGAUCUAGUGGCAGAGUACUCACCUGAGAAAAUAGAUUCAGUUGCCAGCACAUCCAAAAAACCAUGUGGUUGGUAGCAUAAGAAUUUCUUGGAAAUUAUUCAAGUAACAAAAGUUGUGGCAAUGAUAAGUAUUUAUAAUGUGUGAAAGCUCUAAAUAGAAUUCAAAUAAAACUGUUUCACUGGGUUUAAUUCAAUUUACAUGUCAUGUGAUGGAAAAAUAGUUUGAGAUGUAACUUUUGUUGUGGUACUUUGCUAUGGAUGUCACCUAGAAUGGUAACUUCCAUCAUUGAGAACUGAAUUAUUGUCAGUGUGGUAUUUGCUUCCCACUGAAGUACAGGAAUUGAGGUGUGUGGUUUAUCCCAAAUAGAAAUAUUCUUUGCCACUUACUGACUCUGUUAGCUAAUAAAGAUGCACGGUCAGAGUUCUUUCCUCUAACAGUCUUCUAACUCUGAUAGUCUACUAAAGUCAAGUAAAACAGAUCACACAUAAAAACUAAGUGUAUAUUUGGUAGAGCUCAGACUUAUAAACACCUUUAAAGUCAGAAUAUAGUUAUAAUUACUGAUGAUUUUUAAAGCAUUUUGACACCUUUGGUAAUGGUCUGCUGUAUCCUUAAUUUAAAUGUGGGGCGGGGUUUUUUGUUUUUGUUUUUCUGCUUGGGACACAGCUCUUGGAGUACACUUAGGCCCUGGGGCCAGUCCUCAGCACUGACGCCCCAUCCCAGGAAUCAGACAGGUGUUCGGGCAUAGUGUUACCAGUCUUUAAACGUUUCUAGCCUGGGCAUUAACCUUAAACCCACCCACCCCUAUAACAAAAAGGAUUAAGACUAUCCAAGUACUCUACCGGAGAGUGGUGCGGCGUGUCCUUCAAGCACAGGUGCUGCUGUUGGCUUGCUCUUCCGUGUACCUUCCAUUGCACCGUGGGUGGAUGGGGUUAUGUGAAAAGAGCUGCCCUGAAUGUUUGAAGCACUACAAAAGGCAGCUUCCUAAUCUAUGCAUCUUUGGCAGUUUUGAAGAAAUCUGACUCUUUGGAAAAGGAACUGUUGUGAGAGUUUGAAACUGCACCUGUAUGUAUGUUUUUAGCAAUAAAGCAUGAGCUGAGAAUGCA